rnacentral:tRNA from 1 species
AGCCCCGUAGUGUAGCGGCCAAUCAUCUUGCCCUUUGGAGGCGAGGACCACGGUUCGAAUCCGUGCGGGGCUA